rnacentral:rRNA from 1 species
AGUGAACGCUGGCGGUGGGCCUAACACAUGCAAGUCGAACGGCAGCACAGUAAGAGCUUGCUCUUACGGGUGGCGAGUGGCGGAAGGGUGAGGAAUACAUCGGCAUCUACUUUUUCGUGGGGGAUCACGUAGGGAAACUUACGAUAAUACCGCAUACGACCUACGGGUGAAAGCAGGGGAUCUUCGGACCUUGCGCGAUUGAAUGAGCCGAUGUCGGAUUGGCUAGUUGGCGGGGUACAGGCCCACCAAGGCGACGAUCCGUAGCUGGUGUGAGAGGCUGAUCGCCCGCCUGGGAACUUGGACACGGUCCAGACGCCUACGGGAGGCAGCAGGCUGGAAUAGUGGACAAUGGGCGCGAGCCUGAUCCAGCCAUACCGCGUGGGUUAAGAAGGCCUUCGGGUUGUAAAGCCCUUUUGUGGGGAAAGAAAAGCAGCAGGUUAAUACCCCGCUGUUCUGACGGUACCCAAAGAAUAAGCACCGGCUAACUUCGUG